rnacentral:rRNA from 1 species
GAAAGCGUAACAGCUCACUGAUCUAGCGAUUCUGCGCUGAAAAUAUAACGGGGCUAAGAUACGCACCGAAGCUUUAGAUUCGUAUUUAUACGAGUGGUAGGAGAGCGUUCCAAACAGCGUUGAAGGUAUACCGGUGAGGAGUGCUGGAGCGUUUGGAAGUGAGCAUGCAGGCAUGAGUAGCGAUAAAAGCAGUGAGAAUCUGCUUCGCCGUAAACCCAAGGUUUCCUACGCGAUGCUCGUCAUCGUAGGGUUAGUCGGGACCUAAGUCGAGUCCGAAAGGGGUAGACGAUGGCAAAUCGGUUAAUAUUCCGAUACCGACAAUUGUUCGUUUGAGUGAUGGGGGGACGCAUAGAGUUAAUCGAGCUCACUGAUGGAAUAGUGGGUCGAAGGACGUAGGCUGAAACACAGGCAAAUCCGUGUUUCGUUAGGCCGAGAUCUUACAGGCUCUUCAAGGACUUCGGUCUGCGAGGAGAAUCGAUGAUACUGUCG